CCCCUAGAUGUUCUGGGCCGCACGCGCGCUACACUGAACAGUUCAACAAGUCUUAACCUUGGCCGAUAGGUCUGGGUAAUCUUUGAACGCUGUUCGUGACUGGGAUAGACCUUUGCAAUUAUGGGUCUUCAACGAGGAAUUCCUAGUAAACGCAAGUCAUCAGCUUGCAUUGAUUACGUCCCUGCCCUUUGUACACACCGCCCGUCGCACCUACCGAUUGAAUGGUCCGGUGAAAUCUCGGGACGGCGGCUUGGACGCUUGCGUCCGACUGCUGAAACUUGAUUAAACCAUAUCAUUUAGAGGAAGGUGAAGUCGUAACA
rnacentral:rRNA from 1 species